rnacentral:rRNA from 1 species
ACAGAACCCUUCGGGGUGAAGAUGAAAUGGAUUAGCGGCGGACGGGUGAGUAACACGUGAGUAACCUGCCUUUGACAUAGGGAUAGCCUCGGGAAACUGGGAUUAAUACCAAAUGAAACUACACUACCGCAUGGUAGAAUAGUCAAAGAGAUUCGGUCAAAGAUGGACUCGCGGCUGAUUAGCUAGUUGGUGAGGUAACGGCCCACCAAGGCGACGAUCAGUAGCCGGCCUGAGAGGGUGAUCGGCCACAUUGGAACUGAGACACGGUCCAAACUCC